rnacentral:rRNA from 1 species
GAUGAGCGCUAGCGGCAGGCUUAACACAUGCAAGUCGAGGGGCAGCAUGUCCAGCAAUGGAUGAUGGCGACCGGCGGAAGGGUGCGUAACGCGUGAGCAACAUGCCCUAUACAGGGAGAUACACCAGGGAAACUUGGUCUAAUAUCCCAUAGCAUUCAUUGAAGGCAUCUUUAAUGAAUUAAAGCUUCGGUGGUAUAGGAUUGGCUCGCGUGACAUUAGCCAGAUGGUGAGGUAACGGCUCACCAUAGCAAUGAUGUCUAGGGGUUUUGAGAGGAAGGCCCCCCACACUGGGGACUGAGACACGGCCCAGACUCCUACGGGAGGCAGCAGUGAGGAAUAUUGGACAAUGGAUGGAAAUCUGAUCCAGCCAUGCCGCGUGCAGGAAGACGGCCUUAUGGGUUGUAAACUGCUUUUAUACGGGACAAUAGGGUUACGAGUAAUCCGAUGAGAGUACUGUAUGAAUAA